GUGAGGUAACGGCUCACCUAGGCGACGAUACAUAGCCGACCUGAGAGGGUGAUCGGCCACACUGGGACUGAGACACGGCCCAGACUCCUACGGGAGGCAGCAGUAGGGAAUCUUCGGCAAUGGGGGCAACCCUGACCGAGCAACGCCGCGUGAGUGAAGAAGGUUUUCGGAUCGUAAAGCUCUGUUGUAAGUCAAGAACGAGUGUGAGAGUGGAAAGUUCACACUGUGACGGUAGCUUACCAGAAAGGGACGGCUAACUACGUGCCAGCAGCCGCGGUAAUACGUAGGUCCCGAGCGUUGUCCGGAUUUAUUGGGCGUAAAGCGAGCGCAGGCGGUUUGAUAAGUCUGAAGUUAAAGGCUGUGGCUCAACCAUAGUUCGCUUUGGAAACUGUCAAACUUGAGUGCAGAAGGGGAGAGUGGAAUUCCAUGUGUAGCGGUGAAAUGCGUAGAUAUAUGGAGGAACACCGGUGGCGAAAGCGG
rnacentral:rRNA from 1 species